ACGAGUGGCGGACGGGUGAGUAACACGUGGGUAACCUGCCCUUAAGUGGGGGAUAACAUUUGGAAACAGAUGCUAAUACCGCAUAGAUCCAAGAACCGCAUGGUUCUUGGCUGAAAGAUGGCGUAAGCUAUCGCUUUUGGAUGGACCCGCGGCGUAUUAGCUAGUUGGUGAGGUAAUGGCUCACCAAGGCGAUGAUACGUAGCCGAACUGAGAGGUUGAUCGGCCACAUUGGGACUGAGACACGGCCCAAACUCCUACGGGAGGCAGCAGUAGGGAAUCUUCCACAAUGGACGCAAGUCUGAUGGAGCAACGCCGCGUGAGUGAAGAAGGCUUUCGGGUCGUAAAACUCUGUUGUUGGAGAAGAAUGGUCGGCAGAGUAACUGUUGUCGGCGUGACGGUAUCCAACCAGAAAGCCACGGCUAACUACGUGCCAGCAGCCGCGGUAAUACGUAGGUGGCAAGCGUUAUCCGGAUUUAUUGGGCGUAAAGCGAGCGCAGGCGGUUUUUUAAGUCUGAUGUGAAAGCCCUCGGCUUAACCGAGGAAGCGCAUCGGAAACUGGGAAACUUGAGUGCAGAAGAGGACAGUGGAACUCCAUGUGUAGCGGUGAAAUGCGUAGAUAUAUGGAAGAACACCAGUGGCGAAGGCGGCUGUCUGGUCUGUAACUGACGCUGAGGCUCGAAAGCAUGGGUAGCGAACAGGAUUAGAUACCCUGGUAGUCCAUGCCGUAAACGAUGAAUGCUAGGUGUUGGAGGGUUUCCGCCCUUCAGUGCCGCAGCUAACGCAUUAAGCAUUCCGCCUGGGGAGUACGACCGCAAGGUUGAAACUCAAAGGAAUUGACGGGGGCCCGCACAAGCGGUGGAGCAUGUGGUUUAAUUCGAAGCAACGCGAAGAACCUUACCAGGUCUUGACAUCUUUUGAUCACCUGAGAGAUCAGGUUUCCCCUUCGGGGGCAAAAUGACAGGUGGUGCAUGGUUGUCGUCAGCUCGUGUCGUGAGAUGUUGGGUUAAGUCCCGCAACGAGCGCAACCCUUAUGACUAGUUGCCAGCAUUUAGUUGGGCACUCUAGUAAGACUGCCGGUGACAAACCGGAGGAAGGUGGGGAUGACGUCAAAUCAUCAUGCCCCUUAUGACCUGGGCUACACACGUGCUACAAUGGAUGGUACAACGAGUUGCGAGACCGCGAGGUCAAGCUAAUCUCUUAAAGCCAUUCUCAGUUCGGACUGUAGGCUGCAACUCGCCUACACGAAGUCGGAAUCGCUAGUAAUCGCGGAUCAGCACGCCGCGGUGAAUACGUUCCCGGGCCUUGUACACACCGCCCGUCACACCAUGAGAGUUUGUAACACCCGAAGCCGGUGGCGUAACCCUUUUAGGGAGCGAGCCGUCUAAGGUGGGACAAAUGAUUAGGGUGAAGUCGUAACAA
rnacentral:rRNA from 1 species